rnacentral:rRNA from 1 species
UACGGAGUGUGCAAGCGUUACUCGGAAUCACUGGGCAUAAAGCGCGCGUAGGCGGGUUUUCAAGUCGGUUGUGAAAUCCCUCAGCUCAACUGAGGAACUGCAUCCGAUACUGUCUGUCUUGAGGACGAGAGGGGAAAGUGUAACUUCUGGUGGAGCGGUGAAAUGCGUAGAUAUCAGAAGGAACGCCGGUGGCGAAAGCGACUUUCUGGCUCGUAUCUGACGCUGAGGCGCGAAAGCUUGGGUAGCAAACGGG